rnacentral:rRNA from 1 species
CCUACGGGCGGCAGCAGUGAGGAAUAUUGGUCAAUGGACGAGAGUCUGAACCAGCCAAGUAGCGUGAAGGAUGACUGCCCUAUGGGUUGUAAACUUCUUUUAUAUGGGAAUAAAACGUUCCACGUGUGGGAUUUUGUAUGUACCAUAUGAAUAAGGAUCGGCUAACUCCGUGCCAGCAGCCGCGGUAAUACGGAGGAUCCGAGCGUUAUCCGGAUUUAUUGGGUUUAAAGGGAGCGUAGGUGGAUUGUUAAGUCAGUUGUGAAAGUUUGCGGCUCAAACGUAAAAUUGCAGUUGAAACUGGCAGUCUUGAGUACAGUAGAGGUGGGCGGAAUUCGUGGUGUAGCGGUGAAAUGCUUAGAUAUCACGAAGAACUCCGAUUGCGAAGGCAGUUCACUGGACUGCAACUGACACUGAGGCUCGAAAGUGUGGGUAUCAAACAGGAUUAGAUACCCUUGUAGUC